CAGGAGCAAGAGCAUGGCGUAACCAGGAACCAACCAAACCAUUGGUUCUUGCAUAAAAAGCUAGCUACUCUCCCUUCGCCUUGGUGACCUCCAGGUGAACAAAUUACAAGGAAGAAAGAGAAAGUGUAGACCCUCCAUCAGAACAAGCAGAAACGGAAAUUGUUGAAAAUCACAAAGAGGUGGAGUUAGGGUGCCAUGGUCACAUACCCUACAUGUUGAAUGACCACCCGAGAAAGAUAAUUCUCUUCAAAUUUCAUGCACGGAGUUCCUGUGCUAUAUAAAACCUUCUUUUUUUAAAAUUGGCAAUGCUUACUAAAUUCUACCUAUGUGUUGAUGUAAUUCAUCUUUGUCACGUACAUGUUAGUUCCAGUCUAUCAUGGGUAUUACUUUGAAUUUUUCGCAUGUUUAUAGGAAAAAGGACAUAUGCCAGUUCAAGCUUAUAUGUACUACUAAUAUCAUAUUUAUAUGAGCUUAUAUGUACUACUAAUAAUAUAGUUAUAUGGUGUUCACUAGCAGCACACAGAUGAGAUAUUCAUAUUGUGGGAUUUACUACUUCGUUCAUUUGUGGUCGAUUAGCCAAGAGGAUUCAUGAUUCUAAUCUUUCUCAGUACUAUGUUGAACUUGAGAAAUUAGUGGAAUGUGUAUCAUGUACAGUUGAGGUUCUUUAAUCCAACCGUUGUGUGACAGAACAAUACACAUAAAUCUUUGGACCCCAACCCUACCCGCAAGGUUAGACGCUAAGUUGUGUACUUCAGUUUCACAUUGAAUCAUUAUCCUUCAGACAGUUGAGAUUUGUUUGAUUUGGUUUAUUAAUAAAAACCAUUGUGUUAUCUUCUGUUGUUUGUUCCCCUGUAGCGCUUCUUCUCUAGGUUCAUUCAGUAAUGAUUCAAGCGGCUCUAGAAAGGCAAUUAGUUCCUUAUUCUUCAAAUAUCAUGUUGUGUAAGCAAAGUAAAUACCUUUUUAGCAAGAGACCUUUGGAUUUCCAAAGUGGGAACCCUACAACUUAAUUGAGCGAGAAGUGAUUUUUUUGUAGCCCUUGCUACAAGUUGCAAAAACAUGCUAUUAUUAGUUUCUAGACUCAAAUCAUGUUAGAAGUUGCUGCCAGUAAAUUAAAAUGCCACUAAUAUUUUUCUAUGUAUUUCCCAUCUUUUCGUGAUAGAGAGUUAGUUUUAGAUGGUAUUUCUGUCUAGGGCACAGUUGUUCUUCAAGAUAGUAUUACAGACUAAAUUGGUGGAAAAAUAUGGGGUCAAUGAUAGACCAAAGUGUCAUGGAUUUGCACGAGAAGACAUUCAAGAUUACUGAUGAAAAGAUGAUUUUCAGGGAGAUUUUGCAAGGUAUCCUUUGAUUUUACUACUCAUACAGGUACAUGUGCAUCAACAAUCUUGAGACCAACAGAAGAUUAUCAGUAUCAAGAUUGCCAGUAUCAAAAUUGCCAAUAUCAACUGCCAAACUGAACUACUCCCUCCGAUCCAUAAUAAGUGUUGGGGUCUUAGUUCAAGUGUUCGGGUACAUGUCAUGGCAUCCAUUUCACUGGAGAAUUUUGCUAUGUCAAUGCUGGCAAACAGUAUGCAACAUGAUAUGUACGCAAUGCUUAGUAGGCAGACUUUUUAGUAUUUGUGAUAGCAUAGCCUUUUAUAUAUCUUUUCCUAAUA